rnacentral:tRNA from 1 species
GUGGGGGUGGCGCUCAGAUUGCAAUCGCGUUCGCAAUGCGAAGGUCGGGAGUUCGAUCCUCCUCCUCUCCACCA